GACGGAGGAUGCAAGCGUUAUCCGGAAUGAUUGGGCGUAAAGCGUCCGCAGGUGGCUGUUCAAGUCUGCUGUCAAAGCGCAGAGCUUAACUCUGUACAGGCGGUGGAAACUGAAGAGCUAGAGUAUGGUAGGGGUAGAGGGAAUUCCCGGUGUAGCGGUGAAAUGCGUAGAUAUCGGGAAGAACACCAGUGGCGAAAGCGCUCUACUGGGCCAUAACUGACACUGAGGGACGAAAGCUAGGGGAGCGAAAGGG
rnacentral:rRNA from 1 species